UUAUAUGAUAAAUAGUACGUUUUUCUGCGUGAGAAAUACAAUGUGUGGCGGAAGAGCGUGAGAAAAGACCAACACGAGGGACUGUCACUCUCAAUGCGUGACACUUGACAGCCCUCUAUAUGUUUGGAAAGUUGUAAUUGUUUGCAGUUCAUUUUGCCUCCAUUUUUGGCGGAAAAUGGCGGAACGGCUGGAAAGAGAAAAGUUGAUUAAGGGUGCAGGGGAUUUAACCAAAAGUGGACAGCGUUUAUUUCGUUCAGUGUAAAUACGUGCCUGUUUGUCUCAUUUGUCAAGAACAAUGUCUGCGUUCAAAGAAUACUAUGAAUCCCACCACAAGCCCAGAUUAACCAGUCAUCCGUUUGAGUUAGCUUUCAGUUAGCUAAACUGAUUACAAUCGGUUCAGUGAUGGUGAGUUUGUCAAGAAAUAUAUGAAGGCUGUUGAGGAUUUUGUGGGUUUUAAAUAAACCUCGAAAUAAGUCUUCGGAAAAGACGUCUUAAAUGCGGUGAGUCUCUGCAAGUACAAUCAACUGGAAAAUGAAUGCUGGAAAAUAUGAAAUAAUUAGCAUAUAUUGCAUUAGCACAGGAUGAGAGCAAUGACAUGCAAGACAUAUUAGCACAGCUGCUAGUUUUUCUUCGUGGAGUUAGCUGAAACUUUAAAGUGUUUGAGAAGCUGGCAGCCUCUCAAAGUCUCAAUGACAGGGAAGGACAUUUUUGGUAAAGUGUGGAAAACGAUGGGAGAGUUGGGUCUAAACUGGCAUAGACUGGUCUAAACCGGCCAGCGCAUCACGACUGACAGGACUUUUAGCAUUAAGCCCAACAGUCUCUGAAUUGUAAGCUGCAAAGUAACGAGAUAUACACAAACAUCAAAAAGUCAUACAGUGACGAUGUCUACACUUUUUAACAGCACGUAUAUUCGUGAGCAAAUCUUUUCAUUCAGGAAACUGAUGAAAACUCCAAUGAGAUCAAGACUCAGUGAGUUCAAGGCAUCAGUCUUUGAGACUGGCUGUGACAGGAAUGGAUCCUGACAUUGGACUUCUCACCAGCCUGAAGCAAGCCCACAUUUCACACUAAUUAAUAUCCAUAACCUUUCUCCACACACUGAACAGGAAUGGAUCCUGACAUUGGACUUCUCACCAGCCUGAAGCAAGCCCACAGUUCACACUAAUUAAUAUGCAUAAACCCCGUUAAAGUAAGAAAAACGAUGUGGCCCUCACAGAAAAAAAUUUAAGGACCCCUGCUUUAAUAUGAUUUUUUAAUGUAAUGGUGAAAUUAUCUUACUGAUUAUUUUGGUAAUCCACACAGUAUUAUUUUGUUAUUUGUUUUUAACAUCAUGACAAUUGCAAUUUCGUUUUAUUUGAAUUAAUACACAUUGGUCAAUUUACUCAUAACUAAAAUGAAAAUUGGCUUAGUGGUCAGCACGUUCGCCUCACACCUCCAGGGUCGGGGGUUCGAUUCCCUCCUUCGCCUUGAGUGUGUGGAGUUUGCAUGUUCUCCCCGUGCCUUGGGGGUUUCCUCCGGGUACUCCGGUUUCCUCCCCCGGUCCAAAGACAUGCAUGGUAGGUUGAUUGGCAUCUCUGGAAAGUUGUCCGUAGUGUGUGAUUGCAUGAGUGAAUGAGUGUGUGUGUGCCCUGCGAUGGGUUGGCAUUCCGUCCAGGGUGUAUCCUGCCUUGAUGCCCGAUGACGCCUGAGAUAGGCACAGGCUCCCCGUGACCCGAGAAGUUUGGAUAAGCGGUAGAAAAUGAAUGAAUGAAUGAAUGAAUACAAUGAAAAUCUGCCGUUUAGAUUCAUGUUACAACAUGGCAGCCUCAAAGAUAUUCCUGAGCUUUUAUUCCUUUUCUUAAGUUUGGUUUUGACACAUUUCACUUGUUUGGAUCAUUUUUGCAAUUUUGACUCACCAUGUCUAGCAGAAUAAUACACAGUAUAUUAUUUUGUAAAUCUGCUGAGCAGUGCUUUACUUCAUCUUUAAAGCUACCUGUAUUUUCCCAGUCAAAUCAGGUAAGUCAUUAUGCUGAGAGUAAAGAGUUUAGAUUUGGCAACUUCUGUUAUGUUAUGUACUGAUGUUAGAUGUGACUGGAUAGGACAGGGUCUGUGAGCUUUGUCUUAGCAAACCUAUGGCACACCUAAGCAAAUUAUAUGGUACAGUAUAAAUAAUUCCACACCCAGCCAGAAAACAUUUUGUGAAUUAACAAAGCAAACAAUCAAAGAAAUAAAUAAAUAAAAGAAGGUGUCACAGUGGUGCACCAUCAUUGCAGCCUCACAGCUCCAGAGUCCUGAUUAUGAUUUUAUUCUUUGGUUAUUGUCUUUGUAGCAUUUAACAUUUUCUUCCUGUGUUCUCUUGGGUUUUCUCCUAUAGUCUAAAAUGAGGUGGUUUGGCUACACUAAAUAUCAACUAUAUAUUAUACAAAAAAGUGUGCUCUGUCAAGCCUACUGUUGUUAAAUGUCUGAGAUUCUGUAAGUUUUCCUCAGUGUGAUUUUUCAUCAGUGUUUCCUUUUGUAUGUACAGAUUUUUUAAUAGUAGUUCGCUCAAGCACUCUGUCUCAGCACAGUACCCAUAGGGAUGAUACACUUUACCUGGGUCUUGGUAUUUUAGAUUAAACAGCUGGUGACACUCUUUUGAUGUAACCAUUCGAGUCUCUAAAGUAUGAGUAUAAGUAAAGGAAAGAGAUGUCCCGUAGUACCUUUGUGGAUCAGAAUCUGAAUAACACACAGAUUACUGUUGACCCCAGAGAGUAAAAUUGCUCAAAUUUGUUGCCUGGUUUGUGAAGAGGACAUGAGAAUUCUCCAUUAGUUUUGGAAGCUCUGUUAUUAUGUUCACUUUAGUGUCAUGAAUGAUGUCCAUCUAAAUACAAAUGGAAACAAAAACAAAGUAAUCUAAUGAAAAAAUGCAAACACAUAGAAUAUCAAGCUCUUCUUUCUCAGAUUUCUUGGGGAUGGGGAUGGGGUGCCACCCUGCCCUAAUUAUUGUUCUGUUCUCUGCUGAGGACACUGCUUAGACAUUUCCCCACUAGACCAAUAGAUGGCAGCCUCUCACACCUUCUUGAACUCCUCCUUCUGUUCUUAACCGUUUCAUGUUAUUUCAUUAAUCAUCUAUUUAAGCUCCUUUUUAAAGCAUUUACUUGUCUAAAUGUUUUUGUUGCUUUGCCUGCCAUAGUGGUGUUUGUGGUUUUCUUUAUAGACAGCCUUUUUCUUAGCAUUUAUGUUUUUUCUUCUUUCCACUAUAAAUUAAACUCUGCACUUGCAUCCACCUCACCUCCAAUUUUUGACACAAAUGAUGGUGGUUGGUUUUUUCUCAUUUCAAAAAAUGCUGUUUUCACAUUUUCCUAAUAUUAAUAUUCAUUGGACCCCUCUAUUUCAAAAAAACUUUCGACCUAUCUCUGUCUUGCCUUUCGUGUCAAAAAUUCUGGAGAAAAUUGUGCUAAAUCAACUUCAAAGUUUUCUGAAUAACAAUUGUAUCUAUGAAGUUUUUCAAUCGGGUUUCAGGUCUGCUCACAGUACUGAAUCUGCCCUUUUGAGAGUUUUAAAUGACAUUUAUCUUUCUACUGACUCUGGAGAUUCUGUGGUUCUUAUUCUUUUAGAUUUAUCAGCUGCUUUUGAUACCAUAGACCACUCCCUCUUAUUAUCGAGGCUUGAGACCUGGGUAGGUCUAAAAGCAAAUGUUUUGAGCUGGUUUCAGUCAUACCUAACUGACAGAAAAUUCAUAGUGAAACUGGGUAACUUUUCCUCUGCCCCGCCGCGCUGUCCUAUGGCCUUCCACAAGGCUCUAUUUUAGCUCCUUCUCUAUUUUCGUUAUACAUGCUACCCCUGGGCUCUAUUCUCCGGAAACACGGUGUAUCUUUUCAUUUCUAUGCUGAUGACACCCAAAUCUACUUACCAAUUAGGAAAAACAAUCCUUCAGCAAUCUCUUCUAAAAUGUUUAGAAGAGGUUAAAUUUUGGCUGGCACAAAAUUUCCUGUUUUUAAAUGAAGAAAAGACUGAAGUAAUAAUGUUUAGCCCAAAUGAGAACUCUCAGUCCUCAAGCUUCAAUCUAGACAGUUUAUCUGUUUUUAGAUCUUCAUGGGUGCAGAAUCUUGGCAUCUUUAUUGAUCAGAACUUAAAAUUUGACACACACAUCUCGUCCGUUAUCGGGUCUAGCUUUUACCAACUGCGGAUUCUCUCCAAAAUUAAACGCUUUCUUACCCCUAAGACCUUAGAAAUGGCUGUUCAUGCGUUUAUAACCUCUCGCUUAGAUUACUGUAACUCUUUAUAUUGCGGUAUAUCUAAAACUCCGAUUACGCGUCUCCAGCUCGUUCAAAAUGCUGCUGCCAGAUUUCUCUCCAGUUGUCGCAAACAUGAACACAUCACUCCCAUUCUCAAAUCUCUACACUGGCUUCCUAUUUCUCAGAGAAUAGAUUUUAAGAUUUUACUCUUUGUCUAUAAGUCUCUCCAUAAUAUCGCUCCUCUCUACCUAUCUGAACUUCUUCGUCCCUAUUUUCCUAUUAGAAGUCUCCGUUCAUCUGACCAGGCUUUGUUGGUUGUCCCUCGUGUACGGCUCAAGCGUAGAGGAGAGCGUGCCUUUUCUGUGGCCGGUCCUAAAUUAUGGAACUCCCUGCCACUAGAGAUUAGGAUGGCACCCAUCAUUUCUAGUUUUAAGUCCAUGCCAAAGACCCACUUAUUUUCUCUAGCCUUUUCAUGAUUGCCCAGGGUUUUAUGUCUGUUAUAUCUUAUGGUCUUAAACUGGCUAUUUUAUUUUAUUAUUUUUUUUAUUUUAAUUUAUUUGUACUAUCUUAUUGUGUAUUUUUUAAGUGUAUCUGAAAUAUCAAACGCACUGUGAAGCACUUUGGUCAGCCGUGUGGCUGUUUGUAAAUGUGCUAUAUAAAUAAACUUGAACUUGAUAUUAAACACUGUAACUAUAACAGUUUUCGUUAAGGUAAUUUUGUAAUGGUCAACUUAUCUUACUAAUUAUUUUGGUAAUCCACACAGUAUUAUUUUGUGAUUUGUUUUUAACAUCAUGACGAUUUUUUUUAAUUUGAAUUAAUGCACAUUGGUCAAUUUACUCACAACUGAAGUGAAAUUCAUUUAUUCAUUUUCCUAAGUUUUGUUUGGAUCAUUUUUGCAAUUUUAACUCACCAUGUCUAGUAGAAAGGAAAAGGGAGUGCGAGUUGGCAGAUGAUUUUGUACAUCUCGAAUGGCCGAGGAACCAUUUCUUUUGCCUCUAAGUUUUUCAGGAGUAUUGAAGAACAUUUCAGGAGCCAAUCUGAGCUUAUGUAUGUGACCAAGGAAGAAAAUGCUGUGCAGCAUCUAAGACAAAGAAAUAUGUUGCAAUUAUAUUAACAAUAGUCUGAAAAGAUGCUUUUAUUUAUAUGUAAAAUGACAGCACUUUUUACAUUUGCAUAUUGGGCCUUAUUCAGAGUUGUUGGAUUUAAUUAACUUUUUUAUGACAACAGGUUCCACGUAACUGUGUGCUGUUGAUUUUAAGUAACAUUAUCUUUUU